GGGUUUUUUUCUGCAUAACUAAAGGAGGGUUUUGGAGAUGAGAACACUUACAGAAAAUAUGAGAGUGUGAAGUAAAUGGUCUCAACCAGUGAAUGGAAAAAGGAAAGUAACUUCAAAUUUUGGAAAGGGAUCCAGAACAAAAUCAUCAAGUUGAAGAUCCUGGAAGAUGACUGAAGCUCAGCCAGGGGGAAGCCUUUUGAUGGUGAAGUGUCAGAGAGCAAAGGAGGAACUGUCAACAAUGGUGAUUCCACUAAUGAAAAUAUCCAAUGUGAGCUGGUGGUCCUUUGCUUGUUGUUCUGAGGUAAGUGAACAUGUGAUUUGGCCACAGUGUUUUACUUCCAACCUAAAAUGACUUUACUGCCUCUCUCUUUCCCUGGCUGAUUUCU
rnacentral:sRNA from 1 species